rnacentral:rRNA from 1 species
GAUGAGCGCUGACAGAAUGCUUAACACAUGCAAGUCUACUUGAACUUCGGUUUGGGUGGCGGACGGGUGAGUAACGCGUAAAGAACUUGCCUCACAGAUAGGGACAACAUUUGGAAACGAAUGCUAAUACCUGAUAUUAUGAUUUUAGGGCAUCCUAGAAUUAUGAAAGCUAUAUGCACUGUGAGAGAGCUUUGCGUCCCAUUAGCUAGUUGGAGAGGUAACGGCUCACCAAGGCGAUGAUGGGUAGCCGGCCUGAGAGGGUGAUCGGCCACAAGGGGACUGAGACACGGCCCUUACUCCUACGGGAGGCAGCAGUGGGGAAUAUUGGACAAUGGACCAAGAGUCUGAUCCAGCAAUUCUGUGUGCACGAUGAAGUUUUUCGGAAUGUAAAGUGCUUUCAGUUGGGAAGAAAAAAAUGACGGUACCAACAGAAGAAGUAACGGCUAAAUACGUGC